GAUCUAUCCCCAAUGGCCAUAGGAAGUAAAUCUCGUCCUAAUCCGUGGAUCAGGAAUCCUGCUUUAUGGGGAUUUUUUUUUUGCGGGGGGAUCCUGAUUUAUGGUUCCUGGCACUGUCACGUAGUAAAUGCAAGGUCGGUGCUGAUUGCGGUUGUCUUCCAUCUCUAGCCCGAGGGGUCGAGGGGGCGUUUCACCAUUCUGAGCUGCACCUUUCUCGGCGGCAGUGCUUCUUCUCGAAGAAUACUCAUACCACACGCGCAAAUGAAGUUCUUGCUGCAGCCGAUUAAGAGGACCUCCGUUGGAAGAUAUUAACGGCGACGAGAUUCCAGUGGAACAGCUUCGCUACCUGGUGGCAGCACCAGUCGCGGAUCUGCCGCCCCCCAUGGAGGAAGCGAGCGUGGACAGCCAGAUCUGUGCCCGCCGAGAUGGCGGUGGGGGAGAACAGGAGCCGCAAGCUUCCGAGCAGUCGAUCGAACAGCUUGACCCAAAAUCUCCGCGCAGGUAUGGUAACACUGUUAGACUGUAUAUGGAUACGUAGACUUGUGUAUACGUGUUGUACUUGUACUUCUACCUUUUGGUACUUAUAUAUAAUGAGAUAGCCGCACCCCCAAGGGUGUCGAGCAGUUGCCCCCAA